rnacentral:rRNA from 1 species
CCUACGGGAGGCAGCAGUGGGGGAUAUUGCACAAUGGGGGGAACCCUGAUGCAGCGACGCCGCGUGGGUGAAGAAGCGCCUCGGCGCGUAAAGCCCUGUCAGCAGGGAAGAAAAUGACGGUACCUGAAGAAGAAGCCCCGGCUAACUACGUGCCAGCAGCCGCGGUAAUACGUAGGGGGCAAGCGUUAUCCGGAUUUACUGGGUGGAAAGGGGGCGCAGACGGCGAUGCAGGCCAGGAGUGAAAGCCCGGGGCCCAACCCCGGGACUGCUCUUGGAACUGCGUGGCUGGAGUGCAGGAGGGGCAGGCGGAAUUCCUGGUGUAGCGGUGAAAUGCGUAGAUAUCAGGAGGAACACCGGUGGCGAAGGCGGCCUGCUGGACUGCAACUGACGUUGAGGCCCGAAAGCGUGGGGAGCAAACAGGAUUAGAUACCCCAGUAGUC